ensembl:lncRNA
UCUCUGUUGCACAUGCAUGCAUGCAUUUCUACGCUGAAAGUUGCUUUAGGCCUUCAGCCGUGGAAACUGCUGCUCACAUUAGGGGUGUUUUUGUUAUCGAGGUUUCACUCUAGCAUCAGUAAGGGAAAAGUUUUCUGUUUUGUUAUUGAUGGUUCCAUGAAACGACUCUCAUUGUCUCUGCCUUCCAGUUCAGAAUCGAACGAGAACUUGGACACCCUGUCUGAACAACUGCAGUCGAUCCAGGAUAUAGAUGAACUAACAGAAAUGCUCCGCUCUUCCAGCAAGUAUGAGGAGCGGAAAAUGAUUCGAGCGUCCAUCAGACGGAUCCGGGACCAGCAGCUUCAAGGUGAAAUGUUCCCUUCCAUUCAGUCGGGCACAGCUCGUCUAACAGAGAUUAAACUUUAUAACAGUAAAUAAGACAUGUAUAAGUGUACCAGGGGAGAAAACCAUUACCAUUGAAUCCUUUUUUUACUGAACCAUUUUUGCUUAUUAGUCUCACUUAAGUUAAUAAGCUGUAAACUGAAAUAUUUAAGCAUACACGUGAUAAAAGAUAAAGCAGAGCCAUUUUGCCAUCAGGACGGCUUAUAAACCCUGAUAUAGGUUGUUAAAAAAAACUUUCAGCUCAUUAUAGAUUAGAUUUUGAAAGAAAAACCUAGAUUUUUUUACUUUACUUUAGUGUGUUGACCAUAAAAAACGUGUUUUCACCUUUUAUAGCUAUUACCACCUCUGCACCUACAAUGCUGGAUCAGAUAUAACAUUCUUGCCAUUACUUAGCGCUGUCUGUUCUGGGUGAGGCGUCUAUCAUUCUGCAGUCUUGUAAUGCAUCAGCUGUGUAAAAAACUUUUUUUUAACCCUCACACUUGAGGCUGUUUGUUAGAUGUGUUCUUGCUGUACACAUAAAUCCUUUCCCUUGUGUCUCUAUGUAUUUUAGGACAAACAGAACGUGAUAUGACCUCUGAUCGCCACUUGGAGCCUGAGAGUGUGGAGUCCCAGAGCAGCAAGGGGACCAGGGAGGCAGGGCGUGAGAAACAAGGAGAGCUGGAGUGCGUCAGAUCUCAGAUCCAGGAGCUAAAAAGCCAGCAGACACAACACAGCAGAGAUCUGCAGAGCCGAGGCUUCAAAUCGAGCAUGAUGCUGGUCCUUGAUCACCCGGGAAAGGACAGUGACUCUGGGUCUCUGUUGAUCCGGCCUCAACCAGAAACUUUGCCUUCAGAGACCAAUUUGGUUCUCUCUCAUCGGCAAAGAUCAGACUCCACAGCGUCAGAAAACAGCGUGAGCUCUGCUCACUCCAGGUCCAAUCUGGAUUCUGUGGCCUCAGAGAGAAGCCAGGUCUCAAGCGUACUUGCUCGGCGGGAUUCUGGAGCUUCAGACAAAAGCAGUAGUUCAUCCCAGUGUGAACACCUCGACUCUAGCACAUCUGAAAAAAGCAUCAGCUCCGUCAUUCACUCCAGACAGAGACUCGGAUCAGAUGUAUCCGAUUCGUGUGUCAGACCACAACUUGGAUCAAGAUCCUCAGAUAUCUUGAGUAUGUUGGCAAGGACACGGACCAAUUCUAGCAUGAGCAUGUCUUCCGAGGAGAGGGGUCCAGCUGAGGAGGUAACCUCAAGUUCAACAUACAGCACUGAUUCCGAAACGGAGAAAAGCCGAAGUCCCGCCAGCAUCCAGACUCAGUCCAACCAUGAUCAUGUUGGUGACAAUGAGCAGCCUGAUGGCGCUGGUUUAUCUCGCCAAAACCCUUUAAAUGGCCUACCCAGUAGCACCAGCAAUAAGGAGACAGCAGAUGACCAGAAGCCAAAGGUAUUAUGUACUGCAGUUGUAUCAGAUUCACAUAAAAUAUCUUUAUUGGUUGCAAUUUCCAGGACAGUUGCAAAAAAACCAAAAGAAAUGUUAACUGAAAUUGUUAACUGAAAAGUAUAUUUUCUCCUCAGUGUUUCGUUACUAAGUUGAUUUUUAAUAAUAAACUCAGGGAAUACUUUUACAGUCUGGUCGUCCUUGCACCACUAGAGAGGGAUGCUGAGCUGUGAAGCCUCAGUCGAGCUCACAGACUGUUUUAGCUCUGUUACAUUUUCCCUAACAAGAAACCCCUGCACUUCAUUUUUUUCUGACACCCAGAUGCCAUCGGCAUCCAUAAAUACAAACACUGCGGUCCUGCUAGAUGUUGUUUAACUUGAGUUACUUGGUUACACAAACAAACUGCACCUGACUGCUUCUGUUUGACCUCAGCAGUGCGUCAGCCUCACCUGAUGUUAAAGAGACAACGUCGCACGCCAAAGAUUCUGUCUCUCGUCAUCUCACAGCUCGGAGAAUAUACAAACAAAUGUCUCCUGUUUCUGCGCCGCCCGCUAGUUGUUGAAGAAUAUUUCCUGCCUUGAAGGCUCAUGUUAGCUUCAUGCCAUUGUGUGACUCCACUAAAUGUGUUUGCUUUAAAACUACUCCCUGACGUCUUCAUUGUUCUCUGCUGCAUAUGCUGAUACAGAUUCUCCUGGUAAUAAUGCAAACGCUUUGAGAUCCAUUGUAGUCGCAUUGCCAAGAAAAGAUGAAAGGUUCACAUUCUCACCCCAAACACAAAUGUUGCAUGACGAAAAGUCGAUGCUGUUUUUAGAUCUGUGGAGGUCUGUGUGUGUGUGUGUGGUUGCCACUGCAGCCUGAGGCGUGAAGACUCCAGCUCCAGAUGAAUGUGCAAAUCUGAACAGCACACCAGCUGUGUGGCUGUCAAUCCAGGCAAUGAAAAUGUUGACCUCUGACUUCCUUCACUUCCUGUACUAGGUGUUUUGUCAUGUUCUUUUGUGUUUCUUCUCUUUAGAAAACUCUGAACAGCAGUCUGUCAUUCAGGCAUGUCAAUGAGAGAAAAUAUGGUAAGAAACCACCCCAUAAAUAUAUCAAAAAUAAAAUCCUCUAAGAAUAGUUAGGUUUUUUUUUAUC